rnacentral:rRNA from 1 species
AUUGAACGCUGGCGGCAUGCCUUACACAUGCGAGUCGAACGGCAGCACGGAGCUUGCUCUGGUGGCGAGUGGCGAACGGGUGAGUAAUAUAUCGGAACGUACCCUAGAGUGGGGGAUAACGUAGCGAAAGUUACGCUAAUACCGCAUACGAUCUAAGGAUGAAAGUGGGGGAUCGCAAGACCUCAUGCUCGUGGAGCGGCCGAUAUCUGAUUAGCUAGUUGGUAGGGUAAAAGCCUACCAAGGCAUCGAUCAGUAGCUGGUCUGAGAGGACGACCAGCCACACUGGAACUGAGACACGGUCCAGACUCCUACGGGAGGCAGCAGUGGGGAAUUUUGGACAAUGGGCGAAAGCCUGAUCCAGCAAUGCCGCGUGAGUGAAGAAGGCCUUCGGGUUGUAAAGCUCUUUUGUCAGGGAAGAAACGGUGAGAGCUAAUACCUCUUGCUAAUGACGGUACCUGAAGAAUAAGCACCGGCUAACUACGUGCCAGCAGCCGCGGUAAUACGUAGGGUGCAAGCGUUAAUCGGAAUUACUGGGCGUAAAGCGUGCGCAGGCGGUUUUGUAAGUCUGAUGUGAAAUCCCCGGGCUCAACCUGGGAAUUGCAUUGGAGACUGCAAGGCUAGAAUCUGGCAGAGGGGGGUAGAAUUCCACGUGUAGCAGUGAAAUGCGUAGAUAUGUGGAGGAACACCGAUGGCGAAGGCAGCCCCCUGGGUCAAGAUUGACGCUCAUGCACGAAAGCGUGGGGAGCAAACAGGAUUAGAUACCCUGGUAGUCCACGCCCUAAACGAUGUCUACUAGUUGUCGGGUCUUAAUUGACUUGGUAACGCAGCUAACGCGUGAAGUAGACCGCCUGGGGAGUACGGUCGCAAGAUUAAAACUCAAAGGAAUUGACGGGGACCCGCACAAGCGGUGGAUGAUGUGGAUUAAUUCGAUGCAACGCGAAAAACCUUACCUACCCUUGACAUGGCUGGAAUCCCCGAGAGAUUGGGGAGUGCUCGAAAGAGAACCAGUACACAGGUGCUGCAUGGCCGUCGUCAGCUCGUGUCGUGAGAUGUUGGGUUAAGUCCCGCAACGAGCGCAACCCUUGUCAUUAGUUGCUACGAAAGGGCACUCUAAUGAGACUGCCGGUGACAAACCGGAGGAAGGUGGGGAUGACGUCAAGUCCUCAUGGCCCUUAUGGGUAGGGCUUCACACGUCAUACAAUGGUACAUACAGAGCGCCGCCAACCCGCGAGGGGGAGCUAAUCGCAGAAAGUGUAUCGUAGUCCGGAUUGUAGUCUGCAACUCGACUGCAUGAAGUUGGAAUCGCUAGUAAUCGCGGAUCAGCAUGUCGCGGUGAAUACGUUCCCGGGUCU